rnacentral:rRNA from 1 species
UACGAAGGGGCUAGCGUUGCUCGGAAUCACUGGGCGUAAAGGGUGCGUAGGCGGGUCUUUAAGUCAGGGUGAAUCCUGGAGCUCAACUCCAGAACUAGCCUUGAUACUGAGGAUCUUGAGUUCGGUAGGGAGACUGGAAUUCCUGGUGUAGCGGUGAAAUGCGCAGAUAUCAGAGGACACCGGUGGCGAAGGCGGUCGCUGGCCGAUACUGACGCUGAGGAGCGAAAGCGUGGGGAGCGAACAGG